rnacentral:lncRNA from 1 species
GAUGGUUUUAAUUAAUGGGGUUAUCAAUAUAAUUAUUAGAUUGUUAAUAAUUUCUAAAACCUGUUGUUUGUUUAUUUACGACUUUUGGUUUGAGUAAUCAUUUUGACUAUUACACAAGAAUCUUUCACAAUCUCAGGAAAAAAAGGUACAAAAGCUGUCAGUGGAGGGGUCCUCUUAUAAUCUCCCCUUAUUACUUUCUGAAAGGUUGCCACCGUGACAGCUUUUGUACCUUUUUUUCUGAGAAUUACAGUCUGAUGUUUCUUAUCGGGCAUUUUUGGUAUGUAAGAUUCACAUGUUAAAUAUUCAGACAAAAUGAAAGUGAAAGCUUUUUUGUUUGUUUUUUAAUCUCCGGAAAGCAUCUUAUAUCUCUGUAUGACUGUCUUUGUGACGUAUCUGUGACAUCUCUUCUGUUUUCUCGUCAGGUUCAAACGCUUGAAUCUGCUGCUGCUGCUGUGCCAGUUCAGUUACAGCGGAUCCAUCACUAGAUCUGUGAAAGGAAUAAAGGGAGGCAACGCCACCCUGUCAUGUCAAUUUGAAGCCAAAGACAUUCAUUACAUUGAUUUAAGCAGGUUAACAAGCAUCCUUUCUUGUCAGAAUGAAGAAUGUGAGAGUGAAAGUGAAAGUCAGAAUGGGAGAGUAUUUAAAACAGGAUCAUGUGCCGUGAUUAUCAAGAAUCUGAGACUGAGUGAUGCUGGGAAAUACAUUUUAAGAGUCUAUUACACUAAUACUCAGGCAGAAGUGAAGCGUCAAAUCAUGACAUACCGACUUCAUUUUCAGGAUGAGAUUGCAGUGAAGGAAGGGGCGGAGCUGAAGUUGGAUGUUCUGUUGCCCAAUGCUUAUAAAGUAGUGCACUGGACCAAAAGAAGCACAGGACGGAAGGAGGACUGGAAUAGAAGCCUUGGGGUCAGAAGUGAUCGAAUGACCAUCAGAGAUGGAAACCUGAUUAUUAAUAAUUUUACAGCCACUGACGCAGGAACAUAUGAGGUUCUGGACACUGUGGGAGAAAUCCUGAUGAUGGUGACUGUCACAGGUGAGAGAAGAAAUAUAAUUAUAAAGCAUUUCAUGAUCUGGAUUUGAACAUCAGAUUGAUGCUAAACUGAAUGACUAACUUUCAACAUCACCUACAGAAUCAAAGGACAAAAUGAACCACAUAAAUGAUGACAAACAGCAACAUAGUAAGUAAAACAAGAGGCAUUGAGAGCUUUACAAAAUCUUUGAGUUUAUUGAUGAAUUAAUUAAUGUUCUCUCUUCCCAGCUUCCUCUCUUCCACCUGAAGCAUACUGGAUUGUCGCAGUUGAACUGUCAGUGGUUUUGGUGAUUCUGGUUGCUUUAAAAGGAAAAAGGAUGCACAGAUGUUCAGGGGCACAGCUGCACAUUUACUGAGGGGUCUGCAAGAUCAUAGUUGGUGCUCCCCAGUGUUGUGACCCCCGCCAAAAAAUAAAAAAAUAAUAAUUAUAACAAUUACAAUACAUUAAUAAUAUUAAUAAAUAGCUGUCGUUUUGACCAUUGUUUUAAUAAGCCACCAACAUUUUAAUUUCAGCAUUCUUGAUUCCAAUUUUGAUACCGCAGAAAAAUUUGUGAUUGUAAUUUGUUUCAUCAUAAGCCAUAGCUAUGCAUGAAUAUACACAAAUGCAGCCAAGGUGAAUGAAUGCAUAAGUUAAUUAAAUAAUUAUAUUUUUUACUGAUAACAAUAGGAAACAUGAAUAAAGGAGUAAAACAAUGAAUAAAAGUAAGCAUCACAAUAAAUACACACAUAUACAAGUCAACAACACAUGAAACAAAACUUCAUUCAAACUUAUUUUUCUAAUAAUCACUAAGACAGGAUUCAGGUCUCCUCUGUGAUUUAUGUGCUCAAAACUGAAUUAAAAUGUGGAGGUAGUUGCUGCUAACUUGCUUUUUAUCAACACAAAUCAUCCUCAGUUUAUUAACAGUAGAUUACUAAUGGAUACAUGAAAUACUGCAUGUUUAGUUUCUUUAUGUAGAUUUGUUUAUUUACAUUAAUCUACAGCAGUGUUGACAACAGUAAUCCUACUAGCACACAUAAGCUAGCACCUUUAUUUUUAAGAGUGUAAAGGGAAUAAAUAAAAAUAAAAAUAAAUUUCAGUGAUUUCUCUCACAGUUAUAUCAUUGGCUAAUCAUGUCCCUUUAGUGGCUCCGUUUUAUGUUUUAUGGUGCGUAUUUUUAAACACCUCUUACCAUAAUUUAUUUAUUCUCAGGUCAGGUAAAGUCAAAUCUUUCAUAUAUCAUAAGCAUCUGAGUUUUCUUAGGUCACAGAAGUCUUCACCGUGGUCUGUUUGGCUCAAGUUUAGAAAUCAGAGACUUCUGGCAGGCAAGCUUCUUGGUUUUAAUUGCAUAUAUUUUUAUUGACUACUUCACAAACAAAAUACUAGAAUGAAACCAAAGCAAUGGAUGAUGACCAAAAGUGUAGAAAAUAUAACAGAAAGCAUGAGGAGUCAACAAUAUUUUGCCACAUUUUAACAUUUCAAAAGAUUCAAAUAUUGAUGGCAGUAGUUCAGAGUUAUAGCAGAUGUGGCAUUGCAUUCGUAGUGAAUUCCUGAACAACAUUAAAUGAAUAAAAGAACUAACAUGUUGGAGAAGGGGUGGGUAAUAUGACCAGAAUCUUAUAUCACAAAAUGAGUAUUGUAUUUCACAAGAACAUGAAUCUCUAACUAAUUAUUUAUUUUCCAGUUACGUGUUUUAGUUUGAAUCGGACAGGUAUAACGAUUUUGCUUUAUAAAUGUAUUAAUUUAAUUUAAACUGUAUUUGAUCAAAUUCAGUUGGACCAACAUUUCACUGCAGUACUAAUUAAAACUAGAUAUCAUCAUACACUAAAUGACUGAAGAUCACACACACCUAGGAGACACAUCCCUUACGAAAAAAGGAAACAAUGUGUGUUCUAGAAUCGGCUCAAAAUAUCAAACAUGUUUGAUCUCCUCCGUCUGGAUGGAAUCUGAGUCUGAAGAUUUUUGAAUUUUGUUUGUAUUUUUAUAUUAAUUAAAUAUAUUUACUAUUUCCUUUUACUAAAUUCAGAAAAAUAAUACUUUAUAGAUAAUAUUAUGAUAAAAUAUAGAUGUUAAAUUAGUUCACAUCUGCUGCUCAAACUGUUGAGAUCAGACUGAAAUCAUCAGAGAUAUUCUUCAGAAUAAACUUCAGCUGACUGUAUCUGGACUCACACACUGUUUUUUAGUUCAAAUUUCUAUAUAAGGUAUUAGAUCUCACAUCUUCU